rnacentral:rRNA from 1 species
CAGUCGCCGCGGGAAUACGAAGGGGGCUAGCGUUGUUCGGAAUUACUGGGCGUAAAGCGCACGUAGGCGGACAUUUAAGUCAGGGGUGAAAUCCCGGGGCUCAACCCCGGAACUGCCUUUGAUACUGGGUGUCUAGAGUAUGGAAGAGGUGAGUGGAAUUCCGAGUGUAGAGGUGAAAUUCGUAGAUAUUCGGAGGAACACCAGUUGCGAAGGCGGCUCACUGGUCCAUUACUGACGCUGAGGUGCGAAAGCGUGGGGAGCAAACAGGAUUAGAUACCCCCGUAGUCCCUGUCUCUUAUAC